rnacentral:rRNA from 1 species
GACGAACGCUGGCGGCGUGCUUAACACAUGCAAGUCGAGCGGAGCGGCGAACGGGUGAGUAACGCGUGAGUAACUGCACCCCUCUCUGGGAUAACAGUUGGAAACGGCUGCUAAUACCGGAUAGUGGGGGAUGACUCGCGUCUUAUCAGCUUGUUGGUGGGGUAGUGGCCGACCAAGUCGACGACGGGUCUCCGGCCUGAGAGGGCGACCGGCCACCUUGGUCUGCGAUACGGAGCAAACUCCAACGGGGGGCAGCAGUGGGGAAUAUUGCACAAUGGGGGAAACCCUGAUGCAGCAACGCCGCGGGCGGGAUGACGGCCUUGGGGUGGUAAACCGCUUUCAGCCAUGACGCGUUAGUGGCAGAAGAAGCACCGGCUAACUACGUGCCAGCAGCCGCGGUAAUUC